ACCUGCGGAGGGAUCAUUACCGAGUUUACAACUCCCAAACCCCUGUGAACAUACCUUAAUGUUGCCUCGGCGGAUCAGCCCGCGCCCCGUAAAACGGGACGGCCCGCCAGAGGACCCAAACUCUAAUGUUUCUUAUUGUAACUUCUGAGUAAAACAAACAAAUAAAUCAAAACUUUCAACAACGGAUCUCUUGGUUCUGGCAUCGAUGAAGAACGCAGCAAAAUGCGAUAAGUAAUGUGAAUUGCAGAAUUCAGUGAAUCAUCGAAUCUUUGAACGCACAUUGCGCCCGCUGGUAUUCCGGCGGGCAUGCCUGUUCGAGCGUCAUUUCAACCCUCAAGCCCCCGGGUUUGGUGUUGGGGAUCGGCUCUGCCCUUCUGGGCGGUGCCGCCCCCGAAAUACAUUGGCGGUCUCGCUGCAGCCUCCAUUGCGUAGUAGCUAACACCUCGCAACUGGAACGCGGCGCGGCCAUGCCGUAAAACCCCAACUUCUGAAUGUUGACCUCGGAUCAGGUAGGAAUACCCGCUGAACUUAAGCAUAUCAAU
rnacentral:rRNA from 1 species